UGAUUCAUGAUAAGUCAGAUCAUAAACAUCUUCAGGAUUAACCAAGUCGUCAAUGUUUAUUUCGGCAUAUGAUCGGCUACCAUCUGCAUAAAGCCAUUGACCUUUCUCGAUUUUUCUACAGUUGGGACAUUGCAUAAUACCCUUCACAUUGAAUGCGGAACCAAUGCAAUCUAUGAAACUGAUGUCCGCAAUGAAGCUUCGCAAAAGCACGAUCUCCACAAUCCGUAACAUCCUCCAGACAAAUCGAACAAGAAAUUAAGAAACCAGCUUUAGUUCCUUCAUCUAGACGAUCUGCGUCCUCUAACCCCAUACGUAAUCAAUCAACAACCAGACGAAACCCUAAAUUCGAACGGUAUAUGACAAUUCAAUUGAUUUCAACCAAACAGAUGAAGAAUCUCUUUCAAUUGAGGUCUGUUGAUUGUAAAUUAAUGACUUGUUAGUCAGAAUUGAAAUGGAAUCGAAGAUUAGGGUUUGGGAAGAGGAAAUUGGGAUUGGGAGUAUAAAAAGGGGGUGAUGGAGAAAAUGAUGGUUUUGG
rnacentral:lncRNA from 1 species